rnacentral:rRNA from 1 species
AUUGGAAGUAAAAGUCGUAACAAGGUUUCCGUAGGUGAACCUGCGGAAGGAUCAUUAUUGAAUGAACUUGACUUAGUUGCUGCUGGUCUUUUCAAAGGCAUGUGCACACCUUGUCAUCUUUAUAUCUCCACCUGUGCACCUUUUGUAGACCUGGAUUCAACAUUCCGAGGCAACUCGGUCGUGAGGAAUUGCUUCACAGCUUUCCUUGUAAGUUUCCAGGCCUAUGUUUUUCAUAUACACCAUAAGAAUGUAACAGAAUGUCAUUAUUAGACUUCAUUGUCUUAUAAACUAUAUACAACUUUCAGCAACGGAUCUCUUGGCUCUCGCAUCGAUGAAGAACGCAGCGAAAUGCGAUAAGUAAUGUGAAUUGCAGAAUUCAGUGAAUCAUCGGAUCUUUGAACGCACCUUGCGCUCCUUGGUAUUCCGAGGAGCAUGCCUGUUUGAGUGUCAUUAAAUUCUCAACCUUUGUCAACUUUUUUGGUUGACCAAUGGCUUGGAUGUGGGGGUUUUGCAGGUUUCUCUUUUGAAAUCAGCUCCCCUGAAAUGUAUUAGCUGGUUGCGUUGUGUAGACCUGUCUAUUGGUGUGAUAAUUACCUACGCCGUGGACUGUUUGCCAUUUUAGCACUGCUUCUAACUGUCUGUUCAUUCAGACGAUAUAUGACAAUUGACCUCAAAUCAGUAG